rnacentral:rRNA from 1 species
AGUCGAACGAUGAAGCCCAGCUUGCUGGGUGGAUUAGUGGCGAACGGGUGAGUAACACGUGAGUAACCUGCCCUUGACUCUGGGAUAACCACUGGAAACGGUGUCUAAUACCGGAUAUUUCAGCUGGCCGCAUGGUCUGGUUGUGGAAAGAAUUUUGGUCAAGGAUGGACUCGCGGCCUAUCACGUAGUUGGUGAGGUAAUGGCUCACCAAGCCUACGACGGGUAGCCGGCCUGAGAGGGUGACCGGCCACACUGGGACUGAGACACGGCCCAGACUCCUACGGGAGGCAGCAGUGGGGAAUAUUGCACAAUGGGCGAAAGCCUGAUGCAGCAACGCCGCGUGAGGGACGACGGCCUUCGGGUUGUAAACCUCUUUUAGUAGGGAAGAAGCGAAAGUGACGGUACCUGCAGAAAAAGCACCGGCUAACUACGUGCCAGCAGCCGCGGUAAUACGUAGGGUGCAAGCGUUGUCCGGAAUUAUUGGGCGUAAAGAGCUCGUAGGCGGUUUGUCGCGUCUGCUGUGAAAACUGGAGGCUCANCCUCCAGCCUGCAGUGGGUACGGGCAGACUAGAGUGCGGAAGGGGAGAUUGGAAUUCCUGGUGUAGCGGUGGAAUGCGCA